UGCCGGGGCUGCGGGCUCAGCGCGCUCAGAAACAUGCUGAGGUCCCGGUGGCUGUUCCAGCAGCGACAGCGGCUCCAGCAGCAGCAGCGGCGGCGGCGGCGGCGGCGACAGCGCUCGGCUCUGGUGGGGAAGGCGCCCGGCGCCCAUGCCUCCGGCCCCGCGCAGCGGCUGCUUUGACCGGGCCGCAACCUCCCUCCGCGCGCCACGCGCCUCGGCCUCUGGGGAGUUCCCCAACCACGGCCCAACCCCGCCACACCCCCCGCCCCAGGCCUCUGCAGCUCGGCAUGGGCGCGGGGGCGCUCGCGCUGGGCGCCGCCGAGCCCAGCAACCUGUCGGCGGCGGCGGCUCUCCCCGACGGCGCGGCCACAGCAGCCCGGCUGCUGGUGCCCGCGUCGCCGCCCGCCUCGCUGCUACCCCCGGCCAACGAGGGCCCCGCGCCGCUGUCGCAGCAGUGGACGGCGGGCAUGAGCCUGCUGAUGGCGCUCAUCGUGCUACUCAUCGUGGCGGGCAACGUGCUGGUGAUCGUGGCCAUCGCCAAGACGCCCCGGCUGCAGACGCUCACUAACCUCUUCAUCAUGUCCUUGGCCAGCGCCGACCUGGUCAUGGGGCUGCUGGUGGUGCCGUUCGGGGCUACCAUCGUGGUGUGGGGUCGCUGGGAGUACGGCUCCUUCUUCUGCGAGCUUUGGACCUCGGUGGACGUGCUGUGUGUGACGGCCAGCAUCGAGACCCUGUGUGUGAUUGCCCUGGACCGCUACCUCGCCAUCACUUCGCCCUUCCGCUACCAGAGCCUGCUGACCCGCGCUCGGGCGCGGGCCCUCGUGUGCACCGUGUGGGCCAUCUCGGCCCUGGUUUCCUUCCUGCCCAUCCUCAUGCACUGGUGGCGGUCUGAGAGCGACGAGGCGCGCCACUGCUACAACGACCCCAAGUGCUGUGAUUUCGUCACCAACCGGGCCUACGCCAUCGCCUCGUCCGUCGUCUCCUUCUACGUGCCCCUGUGCAUCAUGGCCUUCGUGUACCUGCGGGUGUUCCGCGAGGCCCAGAAGCAGGUGAAGAAAAUCGACAGCUGCGAGCGCCGCUUCCUGAGCGGCCCGGCGCGCCCGCCCUCGCCCGCGCCCUCGCCGGGGCCCGCGGGCCCCGCUGCCCCGCUGGCCAACGGACGGUCCAGCAAGCGACGGCCCUCGCGCCUCGUGGCCCUGCGCGAGCAGAAGGCGCUCAAGACGCUGGGCAUCAUCAUGGGCGUGUUCACGCUCUGCUGGCUGCCCUUCUUCCUGGCCAACGUGGUGAAGGCCUUCCACCGCGACCUGGUGCCCGACCGCCUCUUCGUCUUCUUCAACUGGCUGGGCUAUGCCAACUCGGCCUUCAACCCCAUCAUCUACUGCCGCAGCCCCGACUUCCGCCAGGCCUUCCAGCGCCUGCUCUGCUGCGCGCGCCGGGCCGCCUGCGGGGGCCACACGCACCCCGGCGACAGGCCGCGCGCCUCGGGCUGCCUGGCGGUGACCGGGGGGCCGCCGCCGUCGCCUGGCGCCGACGAAGACGACGACGACGAGGACGUCGGGGCCGCGCCGCCCGCGCGCCUGCUUGAGCCCUGGGCGGGCUGCAACGGCGGGGCGGCGGCGGACAGCGACUGGAGCCUGGACGAGCCGGGCCGCCCGGGCCGCGCCUCCGAGUCCAAGCUGUAGGGCCCGCGCGCACCCCACCUGCGACCCCGGCCCUCGGCGCCCCGGGAGGACGGCCCAGGCGCCCCCUCAGGGGACAGAGGAGAGCUGUGUUUACUCAAGACCGAAAGCAGGUGGGUUUUCACACUUCCCGCGAGGACCGGGUAAGGGAAGGGAGAAGCAUCGGGGAUAAAAGUCCACCAGCUUGGCUUCCGUCCCGCUCCCGGGAACAGGAGCGGUCAGCAGCGGAGAGAAGGGGGAAUGACUGUCAGGACAUGGUUCCUUUUGCUUUCCAGAGAAAUUUCAGUUUAAUUCCCGAGGAAUGAUUUCUCCUGUUCUUCAAGCAAAGGGAAAGGAUGGAUGCAAAAAUCACGUUUCAAGAAAUUUUAAGCUAUUCUUGGAACAAGCCUCACCUUGCUUUCUUUUUGUAGGGCAAACCUGCCCCCCGCGGUGGGCAGUCUGAGGGGUUCUACCUCACACUGUGCACAUUGCACAGCAAGAUAGAAAGACUUGUUUAUAUUAAACAGCUUAUUUAUGUAUCAAUAUUAUUUGGGAGGACCAGGCACUGAGCCUCUGUGACAUGUGACUCUGUCCACUGAAGACAGGACAGAAAAAUUUUUUUAAAUAAAAAAAGAGGAAACAGUUCAGAUUACGGCACAUAUGGGUAAAAACAAAGAACAAAACAAAGGAGUGGUUCAAAAUGUCAUUUUGCACAGUGGUAGGAGUUGUAAAGUCCACAGGAGAUGUUACUUGCACAAAAAGAAAUUAUUUUUUAAUGGGGGGGGGCGGAAACAGAUCUUAAAAUCUAAAAUAAAAUUCAAACUCUAUUUCUGGUGUCUAUUGUGUUAUUGAGCUAAAGAUUUAUUGGGAAAAUAACUUUAUACUCUUAUCAUGGUACUGUAACUGUAUCCAUAUUAUAAUUAUCUCAACAAUUUUUAAAUUAUUUUUUAUGUCCAAAUGCCCACAUGAGUUUGCUGGGAAAAUUUAGCACUUGUGUGUAAAUUCUAUUCUAUUUCCUCUGUGCGUUUUACCAAGUAUUUAUACUCUGGUGCAACUAACUACUGUGUGAGGAAAUUGGUCCAUGUGCAAUAAAUACCAAUGAAGCACAAUCAAGAUUAUGUACCGUGUGUCUGUAAGGGGUCAGUGAUAAUGGAGAAGACAGUUUUGUUCAAAAUACAGGCUGGAUUUCCAAGUGAGCUCUUUUAAUAGCCAUUUAUGACUCAAUAACAUAGCAAAAUGCCUCUAGACCAAAUAAGGCAUGUACCUACUGAGAGCCGCAGACGUGCCCUAAUUUUCACAGCCGGAUUCAAGGUAUUCUGGACUACUUGUAGGUGUUUUCAAGAUACCAUCUGCUGCGCUUGACUGAAGAAGGAACAUUCGGGAUUGUGAAUCUUCUAAAAAAAAAAGAGUGAUGGAGCCAGGUAAACUCAGCUGCAACUUUGCACAGAAACUCAAGAAAGAGGACUAACUCCUUGAAUGAUCAGUUUAGUUGCCUGCUUGGAACAGGGUAAGUGGUUUCCACGGCUUGUUUUUGUUUACCAAUAGAAAAUCACAGCCUACAGAUGGGUCCAUGGGUGCAGAUUUCUCCAGUGGCUGUUUAGAAUGCAAAAUGCUUUCCUAGUGAAGCAAAAAUUUAUAAAAGCUUUUCAGUAAAUAUUUUUUCUCUUGUGUACUUAAACAGACCAAUAGACGUUCCAGUGGGUAGGUCACAGGUAAAAGCAAGUGUGAUGAAAUUUCUGACUUCUAACAAAAUUUUGACACCCAAUGGCUAGGAUAUUUUUCAUAAAACUCAUUCCUAAGGAAAGCAUAGUGAAAUUCCAUCCGGGGAUUAAUUCUGCAUUCUCCAAAAUAAGUUUAAGUAUUUAUCUUUGUAUUUUUAAACAAAGUUUUCAUUACAUGACCGUUCAGUAAAGAAACCAAAGUAAAGAACAUAAAGUUGUAGCUCAUACUAAGCUUUAACAUGAAGAAACUAUUCUCUGCUAAGGAAAGUCAAGACUGAUUAUCCUUUUUUGCAAUGGGAUAUUCUAAAGAUCCGGAGACAGUCUUCUGAGAAAGGCUAAUGAGGAGAUAUAUUAGAUAUCAACAGAAGGUUGCAUGAACAGUAGCAGUUUCAGCAAAAGCUGCUGGGAACUUCAAGCCCUUUCUCCAGCAAAAUAUAAAUAAGAGGGUGUAUCUCCAAAACUUACUUAAAGAUACAAAGAUAAAUAAGAAACUUAUUUUGCAGAAUGUAAAAUCAUUCUUGGGACGAAAUCUCACUAUGCUUUCCCCUAGGAAGAAAUAUAGUCCAUUUCUACAGUCCCUUACCCACCAAGUGUAUAUAAGAUGCAAUUUGUUAGGGUUUUGUUCCUCCGAACACUCAAGUACCAGGUUAGUUGCUUCACUUUCCUGACUUCCUGGUUAUUAUUUUGUCUAGAGAAGUCUUCACAUUUGAAUAAAAAGAAAUUUCCCAACCGAAAACUUACUUAUAGGCCCAUCAAACCUCAGAUCUUAAAAUCAUGAAAGUCCCUUUAAGUUAAUAACAAAUAUGUAUAAUUUAACUACUUACUAGAAGGACUAAACUCUUUAAUUAGAGGAAACCAGUAUAAUCUUGGGAGCAGCUUGUAUGUAUUUUAGGAAAUAGAAGAUUUUUCUGUGACCCCUUGAGUUCUCUUAGGAUUGCAAGGAUUCAAACACAGACCCCAUCAGUGACUCCAGCUACCCAUGAAAAGUACCUCUUGUGGUUUUUGAAGAAGACAGACAUUUAUUUUUAACAGAAAGGUGGGAAGCUCGGCUGUCAAUCCCAAAUAACUACAUCAGUGGGACGAGAAACCUACCAAUCCUGUUUAAUCUGGUGAACUAAUACACAACAGAAGUGAGAGAAGGAGGGCAAUGAAUAUGUAGAAAAUCAACCUUACCCCAUGAGUGCGUGUGUAACAAACUACUAAAGACAUGAACAUUAAAAUUAGAAGAGUGAACUAAAAUAUGAUGGAGAUUAAUUGAUUGGCUUCAUUGAAAAUGAUGUAUAGUUUGCCCACUGUGAAGUUCUCUAACAUGUAACAAGAUUCUCCAGCAUCUAUGAAUUCUCCCCUCACUGUAGAAAUGUAUAAUUGGUAGAGCAUAUAAUGUCAUCCCUGGGUGAACUUGCCAAUAUAAAACUUUGCAAACAGGGUUUGGGUUUUUGUUUUUUGUUUUUUGGUUCAUGCUUUCUUUGGAAAUGGCAUUAUUAAUAACUUCUAAGUGGCUAUUGUGAAACCGUUCCUCAUUAAGCACAUUUUCCCAGCUUAUUUUAAUUUCACAUUUUGUUGAGCAUGCUGACUUCCUCUGACAAUAUGUAAAUUGCCAGGCGGAAAUUCUUCAGCCAAAGUAUCAGGAUGAGAUUAACAUUUAAGUUUUUAACAAGAGCUGCUAAGCAAGUGCCUAAAGGAAAAUCAUU